rnacentral:lncRNA from 1 species
ACUGGUUUCAGUUCUAAACUCUGCCAAUUUCUAGAUGUGUGAUCUGUAAAAAAGUCACAAACUUUCCAUGUCUUAGUCCUCAUAUUUUCAAAACAGAGUUAGUAAUAUCCCACAGAGUUUUCAUGGAGGAAAACAGGAUAAUUUAUAUUAAAUUCAAUGAUUAUUAUUACUGUUUUGCUAUUAUUAUUACUACUACAACACCUUGGAUGACUGGUGUCUAGUAUUUACUCAAAAAUAAUUCAUCAUACAACUUUUCUGGAUGACAUUUUUUAAUUAAAAAAGCAAAAAAUAUCUAGCCACAGUGGAGUAUUUGGAACACAUUAGAGAAAUCAUAAAGGAAAUGGUGCUUCAGCUAUUAAUUAUAUCAUUACUGACAAUAAUAUGGCAUAUGAUAGAAAAGGGUUUGAUAAAGCUAAGAAGAGCUUUUAGAGCUGCAGUGAAAUAAGAGCCAACAUCAAUUCAUGCCAAAAAAAGCAAGAGAAACAAAAGGAAUUAAACUAAACUAAGAGCUACUGUUUAAAGUAGUGUGUGCAAAUGUGGGACUAGUAAGCAUUUGGCCAAUGAACAAUUAUGAUUGUUGAUUAUUUCCUAGCUAGUAUUCUUUAGAAAUUUAAGGUAUUAUAAUUCUAACACUGAUUCACAUUUAAAUUCUGGUUUUUUUAUAUUCAGGAAUGCCUGUAAAUAUACAGGGAACAUUUAAGCAUCCCAAUUCUCCUCUUAAUCCUCACACUUAAAGAAUAGUGUCUUUUAAUUCAGAGAUUCGGUGGGCCCCAGUGUUAAUCUAAAACUUUCUUUUUAAUCCUUAUAAUAUUAGAAUAUCAUAGAAAAUAUAUUAACCCCAUGACUUUUAGUUAAAAGGGAAAAUGAACUUUAAAAAUUCACAGAAUAGCAAAUAAAUGUGUAUUCUAACAUAGAGGUGAAUUCUAGAGUAACUACGCAAAAUCUAUUUAGAUAUGUAGACAUUAACAUUGGCGAAAAAGCUUAGAAACCAAGAAGUAAGUUUUGACUGUUAAUAAGGUAAAGAUUUAAGUAUUAUCCAUUUUAUGACUAAAUUUGAGCCAAUGCUCUGGCACAAGGUAUGUUGUAAUAAUAUAUGAUGAGGCUUUGAUCCUGGUAUUCUUAUGCGUAUUCUUCCUUUCUUUUCCAGUCUUUUCUUUUUUAUCCCUGAUUUUAAAAAAAGUUUUAGUGUUUCAAUUAGUGGAUAUCAUUUCAAGUUAUAUUCCUGACCAUAAAUGAAUGCUUUGUUAGAUUUCUGUUGGCUGCAAAAUUCAGAUCCUUAAUAUAGACAAUACUUGCUGUUACAAUAAAAUUGUAUACAUGAAAAACAAUAAUGGAAGUGCUAUGGACUUUGCCAAUAUGAACAUCAUUUAAACAUCAUUUCAAGCUCUAAUCCUUAAGUGAAAGAUCUUUAAAAAAUUAAAAGUCAUAAAUAAUUCAUAUCCCUUAGGAAUUUGUAACAUUGAUUAGACUUUAUAAUGCAUCUGAUAGUAAACAGUAAUGAAUUCACUUUCCAUUAUUUAUUACAGUAAAUCUCACUGUACUUUAUAAGUUUUAAAAAUUUGAAGACAAAUCCAAAAGUGAAGGGAUACAAAUGAUACUACUUUAUCCAUGCUUUUAUUAUUAUGAUUUGUAAUUAAUAACAUGAGUUGCUGAAUUGUGGAGGGGUUUGUUAAUUGCUUCCUGUGUUAACAAUUUAACAGGGAUCUGGAGUACAAAAUCAUUUCAUCAUUUUUGGAAAAUCCAAUAAUUCACUUUUGAUAGCCAUUGUUUCCCUAUAAAAUAGAUCAGUUUAGAGGCAGCAAUUUGCACCAGGAUUGUAAUAUCCAUAGCUCUGGUAACUAAGCUACCAUUUGUUCCCCUCAGAAACUGUUGGAAGUUGUCUUCUAUUUUAUCUUUUUUUUUUUUGUCUUUUUAGGGCUGCACCCACAGCAUAUGGAGGUUCCCAGGCUAGGGGUCGAAUCAGAGCUGUAGCCACUAGCCUAUGCCACAGCUCAUGGCAAUGCCAGAUCCUCAGCCCACUGAGAGACCAGGGAUCGAACCUAGGUCCUCAUGGAUGCUUGUCAGGUUUGUUAACCACUGAGCCAAGACAGGGACUCCUAUUUUAUUUUUUAAAUUAAUUUAUUUGACACAAUAGUGUGAGCCUCCUAAGCAUAGGCAUAGAGCGGGAAUAUACCCAAAAAACAAAGAAAAAAUUCCUCCCCUCCCCACUUCUGUCCUACCUCCCUCGCUCCCUUCCUUCCUCCCUCCCUCCUUCCUUACCUCUCUCCUUCCCUCCUUCCUUCCUUUCUUCUUUCCUCCCUUUCUCUCUCUUUGUUUUUCUUCUCAUAUUUCCAAGCCUGCUUUCCUAUUAGAUUUUUUAAAAGUCAAAUCUACCUCUUGUGCCUUUUAAGAAUAUUUUCUCCAAAUUAAUUUUUCUCUUUAUGAUUGUCAAUAGGCCAAUAAUAUUGUUGAUGUUUUUAUUGGUGGCCUUUGGGCAUUUUUUUCCCCCAUUACUCUACCAUGAAAUUCUCUAUAGCUCAGUUUAAUGAGAGCCUCUUUGAAGCAAUUUGCAGCUGAUAUUUUUCUUUGGAGCAAUGUUCUUUCUUACCAUUUUAUCUUAUGCUAUGUGUCCUCAUUUAUGACUUUCUCAUUUCUCUUUUCUUGCACAAUUUUAAAUUAAUUACAGUAGUUUGUUAUGGAUGAGAACACUUUUUUCCAUUUUUUAUUGAAGUAUAGUUUAUGUACAAUAUUACAUGUACCAGGUGACAACAUAGUGAUUCACAAUUUUUUAAGGACUUAUUCCAUUUAUAGUUACUACAAAAUAUUGACUAUAUUCUUCAUGUUGUAAAAUACAUUGUUGUAGCUUAUUUUAUUUUUCCUUUCAUUUAUUUAAAAUCUUUCCUCCUUCAUCCCUUUGCCGUGUAUCUAUACACACACUCACUAUAUACAUUGUAAAAUGUGUUUCCUAAAUCUAAGGAUGCCUUUCUUAUACAUUCCUGUCAUACUUCUUGUUAUUAUCCCUUUCAACUUUGCCUCUCACAUUAGAUGUAUUUAGAUGUUCUCAUUACACUUUUCAGUCUUUUACUGUCCACUAAUUUUUUGUUUCUCUGGGAUAUAUUUCAUGUAACUAUUUCCUGUAUAUCUUUUACUUGUUUGUUCUUUGGUUGCACCUGUGGCAAAAGGAAAUUCCAGGGCCGGGGGUGAAUCUGAGCCACAGCUGAGACCUAUGCCAUGGCUGCGGCAACACCAGAUCCUUUAACUCACUGUGCCAGGCCAGGACCAAACCCACACCUCUGCUAUGACCCAAGCCACUGAAGUUGGAUUCUUAACCCACUGCACCAUAGUGGGAACUUCUUAUCUUUCUUUUUUUAUUGAAGUAUAGUUGAUUUACAAUGUUAUGCUAAUUUCUGGUGUGCAACAAAGUGAUUCAGUUUUAUGUAUAUCAUAUAUAUAUAUAUAAAUUUUAUAUUGUACAAUGAAAUGAUUUUGUUAUAUAUAUAUAAAAUCUUUUUCAUAUUUUCUAUCCAAUAUAUAAUAGUUUACAUCUACUAGUCCCAAACUCCCAGUCCAACCUUCUUCUGCUCCCCUCAUGGCAACCACAAGUCUCUUCUCUCUGUCUGUGAGUCUGUUUCUGUUUCUUAGAAAAGCGUGUCAAAAAUGUAUUUGAAAAAAUUAUGCUGAAAACUUCCCAAACCUAAAGAAGGAAACAGAUAAAUUUCAAUUCACUUUUGUGUCCUGCAACACUGGAAUAACACAGCCGAAGUUUCACUCUAUAAAUUAGAUACUACAAAGGACAGUAUUACUUUGUAUACCCUGUGACUGCCAGAUUUAGCAAAAAAAAAAAAGAAAAGAAAAGAAAAAAUACAGGACAAGUUAAUUUAGAAUUUCAGAUUCAUCAGAAAUACUUUUUUAGUAUAAGUACAUCCUGUGCAAUAGUUGGAAUACAUACAUGUAUGCCUUAGUAUACAUUGUUUAUCUGAGAUUUAGAUUUGAUAGUACCGCCUUUGCAUUAUCUGGCAACUCUGAGCAUGUAGGCAACCUUCUGUGCUUUAAGCACAAUUGGCCCAGAGCAAGUUCCAUUCAGUCAACAGGACUCCUUUAUUCCAGUAUGUAUAUUAAAAGAGCACUCAUAUGAUCUGUAAUCUCCUGUAAAGAUGUUUGAAAACUAAAGAUACCCAUAAAUGUAAAGUACCAGCAAGGUUUAAAGCAUGGAAUGAGACGGAAUGGGCAACUAUGCCCAUCUCAUUUGUGUAUACAUGAGAUGAGAGUUCCUUUAGGACUAACAUGCUAUGUAUGUUUGGGAACAUUUUCGCUGCAUUAAAUAGUAGUUUCAUGUUUAACAAUAUGAAACAAACAAGGCAUAUUUUUCAAAAACUGAAGAAAAAUUAAGCCCAUUAGGAUACAGAACUCAACUUUUAAGAAAAUAAGUGGAGGAUUUAGAAAGUUGGAAGAGGAAACAUAGAGUUAGUUUGAAGAAAAGGGGACCAUCCCAAGGCAUAAAGGGGAGGAUGCCAAGGCAUAAAGGAUGCCCAGUAGCUUCACUGUCAAAUAUGGGAAUGAAAGCCUCAGAAACGUCUUCUUCACUAUAGGCUGUAGAACAACAAGUUGCAACUACUAAGUUAAAAAUAUGUAGAGGAGUCAGGUGCUAUAGUUAAGGAAGGUAAAGUUUCCAUCUUAACACUCCUAGCUAUUAAAAACCAUUGCCCAUAACAAAAUUAAAUGCAUGUAAUUCCAAUUUUAUAACAUAAAGUGACACAGAUAAAUUAUGAUUUCUAAAAUACGUAACAAAUACAAAAUCUUCCAAAAGAUAAAAAUUUAACUGUUCUAGUAGUCUACCCAAAUAGUAGUUUAUUUUAGCUAUCCUAGUAUGACUAAUUGUUUACACCACUGCCUACAGACCCACUGACACUAAAAAUAGAUUAUAUGUGAAGUCACCAUGUGAAUCUUCGAAUUAGACAUAUGUAUACAUUACAUAUAUACAUAUUUAUUAUAUUAUAUAUAUGUGAUGAAUGCUCUUACAUUAUUUUACAGUAGUUGUUACAAUCCUUUUAAUAGGAUUAUUUUAGCAUUGAAAAAGUAUAGUAGAUACUUUUCCCCAAAUAUCUAAAAUUAUCAUUUGUGUGAGUAUUUGUAGGUGUGUGUAUAGCAUGUAUGUAGGAUGUUAAUGAGGGGGUAGAUUAACAAUAUAUGGAGAAAAAUAAUAUGGAAAGUAGGUCUCAGCUACUUGCUGAGUCAUUGUGAAAAAAUAGUAACAGAAAACUUUUUAUUAUUUAUGCAGUGAAUUUCAAACAUCUUAUUCUACCAUGGCAUACAUAUUCUAAAAUUUACAAGAAGUUUAACUGAAAGGGAAUUCUCUAAUAAUUUCUUGAAUUUUGUUUGCAACUGAAGAGAGAUGUCUAACUAAAAUAGGUUUUGUUUGGGGAGGAACAUAUUUGGGAAUUAUUCUGCCAUCUCAUUAUUUAGAGUGUUUUGCCACUUGUCAUUAUAGAGAAACUCAAAAUUGAUUAUAGCAUUUAAAGUUACAUAGAGGUUGUAACAAUAUCCAUUUAUAUUGAGUAAAAUAUAGUGAAUUAUAUUUGCAAAUUAUAAAGCAAGCUUUUAAGACAAACUUUCAUUGUCUACUGAAUACCUGUGCAGUUUUUCAAUGUGGCCUUAAUUUAUAGAUAUACCAGAUAAUUUGUUCCUCUGGAAAGUGUGUGAUAAAAAAAAUUGACUCAAUCUAAUAAACUGUUUGAGAGACAGAAUAGCAUAGUAAUUGAAAGCCCAGACUGUCUUCUUAAACUACAUGGAUUUAAAUCCUUUCUUAAUCACUAACUAUAUGACAGUAAGAGAUUUUUUUAAAUCCUUUUGCUUCCCUUUUAUUUUCUGAAAUAUAGAGGAAAGAAGGAACAUUCGUUUCCAAGGUUUUGAGUCUAAAAUCUCAGAAGGCCAUCAUGGUAUCAUAGUUAAAGAGUUUAGAAUCUGAAUCCAGAUAAUUUAUAUUCAAGACUCAGUUCUGCAGCUUACUAGUUUAGCUUUGGGGCAAAAGUAAUUAAAUUUCUCUGCAUGCAUCAGUUUCACCUUUGUAAAAUUAGAAUAAUAGUAUUAAUUAGCUUGUGAGCUUAUUCACGUGAACUGCUUAGAACAAUACCUGAUUUGGACAAAUCAUAUAAUAAAUGUAAGCUAUUAUUAAAUCUUAUAAAGAUUAAAAGAUUAAACAAAAUAAAGAAAGCUGUUAAGC